CUUUCCGCUCUCGUGGGCCGGAAGGGUGACUGCUAGGUUCGUGGCUCCGGCGCCUCUUGCUUCGUCUGGCGAUGGCGACGUACACCUGCAUCAGCUGCCGGGUGGCGUUCCGCGACGCGGAGAUGCAGCGGGCCCACUACAAGACGGACUGGCACCGCUACAACCUGCGGCGGAAGGUGGCGGGCAUGGCCCCGGUCACCGCCGAAGGCUUCCAGGAGCGAGUGCACGCGCAGCGGGCCGUGGCGGAGCAGGAGAGCAGGGCCACGGCCACCUACUGCACCGUCUGCAGCAAGAAGUUUGCCUCUUUCAACGCCUACGAGAAUCACCUCAGGUCCCGGCGGCACGUGGAGCUGGAGAAGAAGGCCGUGCAGGCGGUGAAUCGCAGAGUGGAGAUGAUGAAUGAGAAGAACCUGGAGAAGGGCCUGGGCGCGGACAGUGUCAACAAGGACGCCAUGAACGCGGCCAUCCAGCAGGCCAUCAAGGCCCAGCCGUCCAUGUCCCCCAAGAAGGCGUCCUCUGGGCCCGCAGACGGAUGCGGCGGGGCCGCGGCCGCCGGGGGGCGCGGGGCGCACGACCGAGACCCCGCGGAGAAGCCGCCUCGGCUGCAGUGGUUUGAACAGCAGGCGAAGAAGUUGGCCAAGCAGCAGGGGGAGGAGAGCGAGGAGGAGGAGGAGGAGGAGGAGGACCUGGAUGAAGAAGAUUGGGAAGAUAUUGAUUCUGAGGAAGAAAUGGAGAUGGAAGAUACUGACGUUGUGGAUGACUUGGACAGGCCGGAUGCCCAGGAGGGAGAAGCCCGGGAAAGCCCACCCCGAGGAGCCAUCCCUGUAACGGACUGCUUGUUUUGUUCCCAUCAUUCAAGCUCCCUGGUGAAGAACGUGGCGCACAUGACCAAAGUCCACAGCUUCUUUAUUCCUGAUAUAGAAUAUCUUUUUGACCUUAAAGGACUAAUUAAAUAUUUGGGAGAAAAAGUUGGUGUUGGGAAGAUUUGCUUGUGGUGCAAUGAGAAAGGGAGAUCCUUCUACUCCACGGAAGCCGUGCAGGCCCAUAUGAAUGACAAAAGCCACUGUAAGCUCUUCACAGAUGGUGACGCUGCCUUGGAAUUUGCAGACUUCUAUGAUUUUAGGAGUAGCUACCCAGAUCACAAGGCCGGGGAGGACCCCGACGAGACGGAGGAGGUGCCCUCAGAAAAGAACUUGGAAUACGAUGAGGAGACCAUGGAGCUGAUUCUGCCUUCGGGUGCCAGAGUGGGCCACCGCUCGUUGAUGAGAUACUACAAGCAGCGAUUUGGCUUGUCCAGAGCUGUGGCUGUGGCUAAAAAUCAGAAGGCCGUGGGCAGGGUGCUCCAGCAGUACAGAGCCCUGGGCUGGACUGGCAGCACAGGCGCAGCCCUGGCGCGGGAGCGGGACAUGCAGUAUGUGCAAAGGAUGAAGUCCAAAUGGCUGCUCAAGACCGGGAUGAAGAACAACGCCACCAAGCAGAUGCACUUUCGGGCCCAAGUGCGGUUCUGAGUCCAUGGCCAAGCGAGGCAUCUCAGCGUGGCUUCCCCCUGGCUAAGGACCGGUCUCGGGUGGGGACAACCCUUCCGCUGCUGUUGGUUUGUUCCUGAACCUGUAAUAAAAGUUG